rnacentral:rRNA from 1 species
CAGGAUGAAGGCCCUAUGGGUUGUAAACUGCUUUUUGGCCGGGAAUAAACUUUAUUUUUAUAACGGGACCGAAGGUACCGUAUGAAUAAGCAUCGGCUAACUCCGUGCCAGCAGCCGCGGUAAUACGGGGGAUGCAAGCGUUAUCCGGAUUCACUGGGUUUAAAGGGUGGGCAGGCGGACAUUUAAUUCAGGGGUGAAAUCCUACAGCUUAACCGUAGAACUGCCCUUGAUACUGAAAAUCUAGAGUGCAGUUGAAGUAGGCGGAAUUCGUGGUGUAGCGGUGAAAUGCUUAGAUAUCCACAGAACACCAAUGGCGAAGGC